rnacentral:rRNA from 1 species
AGCAGCCGCGGUAAUUCCAGCUCCAAUAGCGUAUAUUAAAGUUGUUGCAGUUAAAAAGCUCGUAGUUGAAUUUCGGGACCAAUAUGUCGGUCGUGCUUCGGUACGUACUUGCAUUAUUGGUUUCUCCCUUCUGAAGAACCAUGAUGUCAUUAAUUUGGUGUCUUGGGGAAUCAGGACUGUUACUUUGAAAAAAUUAGAGUGUUUAAAGCAGGCUCACGCUUGAAUACAUUAGCAUGGAAUAAUGAAAUAGGACGUUUGAUCCUAUUUUGUUGGUUUCUAGGAUUGACGUAAUGAUUAAUAGGGAUAGUUGGGGGCAUUAGUAUUCAAUUGUCAGAGGUGAAAUUCUUGGAUUUAUUGAAGACUAACUACUGCGAAAGCAUUUGCCAAGGAUGUUUUCAUUAAUCUAAGAACGAAAGUUAGGGGAUCGAAGACGAUCAGAUACCGUCGUAGUCUUAACCAUAAACUAUGACCGACUAGGGAAUCGGGAUGAUGUUAUUUUUAANGUACUCAUUCGGCGCCU